CCAUGUGUUCGAUGCUAGCUGCUCAUCCACAGCACCUGCUCUCCGAGACUCGUGAAGUCUACACUAAGCAAGAUAAAACAAACAAUAUAAACAAUAGCUGCGAGCAGUGGAAAGAUGAAACAGAGCUGAAAAGGGAAACAGCAAGAAAAGCAAUAAAGGGCUGAGUGAAGGAAAGAAGAUCUUACUGUAAUGGAAAGAAAACAGCAUCCUGCUCGAUUCCUCUUUGACCUUUGCUGCUACUUAAUUUUGAAUUUUGUGUAAUGAUACUGAAGAAGCGAUGAGAGGAUCUCCAACAGCAGAUGUCCCUGAAUAUGGUGAUGAAAAGAUAUUCACUAAAGCAACCACAUGAGAAUGCUCAAGCUGUUCACAAGCCACCCAUCCAUGGGAGUCAUCUGUCUACAUAGCAUGCUGCCUAGAGAAAUCAGAUCAACAUUCCAGACAGUAGUUAUCAUGUUGUCUAGAUCAUACUUCUUCCCAGAGCACAUCCAAGAGGUGCUCACAUGAACACUCUGGCUGGAAGCCCUGCCUGGGCCUACAAGUAGCUCUGAUAUUGAAAAGACCACAAAGAACUUAACAUAUAUCUGGGUAUUGGGCAAAAAGAAGAAAAGACACUUACCUAUUUAUGAGAAUGAACCAAAGAGCUUUGGUUAAGAAGCCCUGUACAUUAUAGAACUACUCUAGGCCACGCGUGGUGGCUCACGUCUGUAAUCCCAGCACUUUCGGAGGCCAAGGCAGGCAGAUCAAUUGAGGUCAGGAGUUCAAGACCAGCCUGGCCAACAUGUGAAACCCAUUUCUACUAAAAAUACAAAAAUUAGCCAGGUGUGGUGGCACGCACCUGUAAUCCCAGCUACUUGGGAGGCUGAAGUGAGAGAAUCCCUUGAAUCCCAGAGGUGGAGGUAGCAGUGAGCCAAGAUCACGCCACUGCACUCCAGGCUGGAUGACAGAGCAAGACUCCGUCUCAAAAAAAAGUACUACUCUAAAAGACAAGCUUGACAAUUCUGGGAGACUAUUCUUCAAAAUGACUUAAAAUAUCCUGAAAUAGCUUAUCGUAUUGACCAAAAAGAUUCAUCAUGUUUUCAUUUGUUUAUUUAUUUUUAGUUUGGGAUGCUCUGAAGGAAAACUUAGACUGAUUUCCCAGUUAAAUUGCUCAUUCCCACUAAAGCUCAUACAUUAUUUGUAGCAGUAUACCAACUGUAAUUUACAAUGAAUUUCGACAAUCAAAAUGUAAACCCCAGGGGAAGGACCAAAUCCGUCUUGUUUGCCAUCAUAUCCCACAGGCCUGCUCGGAGUCAGACUCUCAGUAGAUAGUUGUUGAAGGAGUGUGUACAUGUAUGAACAUGGAAAAAAACACUUACUGACUACAUGCCAGGCACUGGGAACCAUGUGAUGUAGUUUGAAUGGCCCCUCCAAACCUCAUGUUGAGAUGUAAUCCCCGCUGUUGAAAAUGGGGCCUGUUGGGAGGUGUUUGGAGCAUGGUGGCAGAUCCCACAUGAAUGGCUUGGGCCAUCUCCUUGGUGAUAAGUGAGCUCUCACUCUGGGCUCACAUGAGAUCUGGUUGUUUAAAAGUGUGUGGCGCCUCCCUCCACUCUCUCUCUCACUUGCUCCUGCUUUCCCCAUGUGAUAUACCACCUCCUCUUUCAUCUCCGCCAUGAUUGUACGCUUCCUGAGGUCUCCCUAGAAGCUGAGCAGAUGCCAGUACCAUGCUUCCAUUAAAGCCUGAAGAACCAUGAUUGAAUUAAACCGCUUUUCUUAUAAAUUAUCCAGUCUCAGGUAUUUAUUUAUAGCAAUGAAAGAAUGGCCUAAUAACACCGCGCUAGGUACAGAUUAGGCAAGCAAAAG
rnacentral:lncRNA from 1 species